rnacentral:rRNA from 1 species
AACGAACGCUUGCUGCAUGCUUUAUACAUGCAAGUCGAACGGAGGCCCUAGCUUGCUAGGUGUCCUUAGUGGCGCACGGGUGAGUAACACGUGGGAACAUACCUCAUAGUACGGAAUAACUGCGGGAAACUGUAGCUAAUACCGUAUAUUCCAGCAAUGGGAAAGAUUUAUCGCUAUGAGAUUGGCCCGCGCAAGAUUAGUUUGUUGGUAAGGUAAUGGCUUACCAAGGCUACGAUCUUUAGCUGGUUUGAGAGGAUGAUCAGCCACACUGGGACUGAGACACGGCCCAGACUCCUACGGGAGGCAGCAGUAGGGAAUAUUGGACAAUGGGGGCAACCCUGAUCCAGCAAUGCAGCGUGAGUGACGAAGGCCUUAGGGUUGUAAAACUCUUUCAUCGGUGAGGAUAAUGACAGUAGCCGAAGAAGAAGGACCGGCUAAUUCCGUGCCAGCAGCCGCGGUAAUACGGAAGGUCCUAGCGUUGUUCGGAAUUACUGGGCGUAAAGCGCAUGUAGGCGGAACAGAAAGUUAGAAGUGAAAUCCCUGGGCUCAACCUAGGAAUUGCUUUUAAAACUUCUGUUCUGGAAUUCAGGAGAGGAAAAUGGAAUAUCCAGUGUAGAGGUGAAAUUCGUAGAUAUUGGAUGGAACACCAGUGGCGAAGGCGAUUUUCUGGACUGAUAUUGACGCUGAGAUGCGAAGGCAUGGGUAGCAAACGGGAUUAGAUACCCCGGUAGUCCAUGCAGUAAACGAUGGGUGCUAGUCGUCGGACUUAUGUUCGGUGUCGUAGCUAACGCGUUAAGCACCCCGCCUGGGGGAGUACGGUCGCAAGAUUAAAAUUCAAAAUAAAUUGACGGGGGACCCGCACAAGCAGUGGAGCAUGUGGUUUAAUUCGACGCAACGCGAAGAACCUUACCAGCGUUUGACAUGGAAAGUACCGGUUACAGAAAUGGUAACCUUCAGUUUCGGCUGGCUUCCACACAGGUGCUGCAUGGCUGUCGUCAGCUCGUGUUCGUGAGAUGUUGGGUUAAGUUCCCGCAACGAGCGCAACCCUUAUCGUUAGUUACUAAACAGUUUCGGCUGAGGACUCUAGCGAAAACUGCCGGUGAUAAGCCGGAGGAAAGGUGGGGAUGACGUCGAAGUUCCUCAUGGCCCUUACACGCUGGGCUACACACGUGCUACAAUGGUAACUGACGAACGGGACGCGAUACCGCGAGGUGGAGGCAAAUCCCCAAAAGUUUAUCUCAGUUCGGAUUGCACUCUGCAACUCGAGUGCAUGAAGUUGGAAUUGCUAGUAAUCGCGGAUCAGCAUGCCGCGGUGAAUACGUUUCCCGGGUCU